AGCUCAGUGGUAGAGCAAUCGGCUGUUAACCGAUCGGUCGUAGGUUCAAAUCCUCCAAGGC
rnacentral:tRNA from 1 species